UUCCUGUCUGCAGUGGACGUGACGUCGCAUGGCCAGUGUUCAUCGCGCAAGAGACGUGUACAGCGUGGAAUGCGUCAGGUCCCUCCCGGACUACGUCUGCCUGCAGGAAGAAGAAGCAAUCAUGUGACAACGCCUGGAUUUAAAAGGGCUAUAAUUAUUCCGUCUCUGUUGCGAUAAUGUAAUAAACUAUUAUUCACA